GGUACACCCGGCCGGGCACCUCUUCCCCGCCGCCGCCGCCGGUGACGGCGAACCCGAACACCGUGAGCCCGAGCAGCGCGGCGAUGAGGAGGAGCAUCACCAGGAGGUAGAGCCACAGCGCCCACGCCACGUUGAAGCACGCCCCCACGAACCCCGUCAGCGACACCAAGAGAACCACGAAACCCAGCACCAGCAGCGGCGUCUGCAGCGACGACUCGCACGUCGCCGAGCUCCGCGCCAGCCACAGCCCCCCGCCGAUGAGCGGGAUCGACGCCAGCAGCGUCAAAAGGUUCAGUUUUGUAGGGGGUAAUGAUGCUUCCCUUUUCCUGGUCCAGAGCAUUUUGAACAGGAUUUCAAAUUUUUGAGUGCCUUGUGCAGGAGGGAGUCAAGUGUUCAAAAGAAUCUGAACAUGAAGUGACCUGUACUUGACAGGGGUCCAUUUCUGGGUGUCCAGUACCUUGUGCCAACUAGUGUGUCGGGGCUUUUUCUGUUUUUGGACCAAGAGAAUCUACUGUAAGCUUCUUAGACUAUUCACAAGUUAUGGAAUCAUCUUCCACACUCAAAGAUCAUGGAAGUUCACAAAAGACUGUCCUUGAUUGCUGCAAUCUGUUUCAUGCAGAAAACAGGCGCGUCUCAGGAUAAGUCAACACCUUGAAGGAACAAAAUUUAAGAUGAUCGAAAACCUUUAGUCGGUAGACUCACUGUCUGUGAAAGGGUUCGGCAAUAAUGCUUGCUUGUAAGAGUAAUGCAGGUCCAUGAACGAGAAAAUCAGAGUGAUACAAAGUUCUCAGUAGACUAUACUACCUAGUUUACUUUCCUAAAUUGGCAUGCAGAAUGAUAUUCAACCAGCUAGAUGGAGAAGCUACAUCUAGCAUCACAUCUUUGUGUGAGCUAUAGCUCCUUAAAAAGUUCGGUGAGACAGAAAAAAAUUCAAACUUGAUUUGUUGUUGCAUCUUCCCCAAAAACAUUGGAAUUGAAAUUGAAAUUGCCACCUAACAUGUGAUAGAACAGAAGAUCAAAAUAGAAGUCAUGGAGCAUAAGAAUUCUUAUUCUAAGCAAAAGAGUCUUCAGAUGGAUCAGGUGCUGGCUUUCCAUCGGUAGGUUCCUCCUUACCAGAGCCAUCUUUCAGUUCAGUGUAUUAAUGUCCAUAUCCUUGACAGGUGCUUCCUCUGUUUCAUCUAUUGGACCAGAAUAUUCCAAACGGCUAUCUUUAUUCGAAUCACAUCUUAUUAACUCUUCUCCAUCAUCGGGUUCAGGAUCCUCUUCCUCCGGUAAGGAAAGGUCAAACUUAUUAACUUUACAGGAAUCAGCAUUUGGUUGGUCAUUUGAUGGUCCAUAAGCCUUACAAAGAUCACUCCACAAGGAUUCUGCAGAAUUAACUUGCUGUCGUCCCAUAUAAUGUUUGAGCUCACUCUGAAGCCCAUGAAAUGGCUGUCAAGUAGAAACAGGAAAUACUUGGAUAAUUUAGAUCCAAGAUAUGCAUUAUAUGGAGGUUAUCAGGAAUCAGAAAGAAUUAUAAGGUUGACACAAAGCAUACAACUGGGCAUUGGUGAAAUUCAAUUAAACGGAGAAGCUGAUAAAGUGCUCUGGAAGUGGUCAAGAAAUAAUAAAUUCACGGUCAAGAAUGCAUAUUUCUUCUUCUCCAAUGGAGGAGUUUACUCUCAGUUUGCCAAGAUCAAUCGGAAGCUGCCACUACCAGAAAAAAUCAAAAUCUUCAAUUGGCUGGCGUUUCACAACAAAAUUCUGACAGCGGACAAUUUACACAAAAGAAAUUGGCCUACACCAACGGUGUGUUGUUGCACAUGUGGAUGUAUGGAGGAAACAGCGACUCACAUCUUUAUAGAGUGCAUUUUUGCUACAUUGGUAUGGAAACAUUUUACAAACACUUGGCAAAUGCCAUUGUCAGAGUGUACCGUGGAAGGUUUAUGGAAUCAGUAGAGAUAAAGAAUUCCAACGGUAGAGAGAAGAGCGACAUGGGAUUGUAUUGUAUCAGUGGUAAUGUGGAGUCUUUGGAUAGAAAGAAACCAACGAAUUUUUAAUGCGGAAGCAAGAGCCCCUGUUAAAAUUGUGGAGGCAGUUAACUUUCUGCUAAAGGAAUGGACAUUGCAGGAAACUAAUAACAACAACAGGUCAACCAGCUUCCAAGUGGGAAACAUUACAAGUCAACAGGACAACUCGAUGCAAGGGAUAGUGCCACAUCAAACGGUGCUUUUAAACGAGAAAGAUGACUGAACCAGCAGCUGAAAUCCAGAUGAAGCAGGGCUAGAUAGGUUCAGACAGAGGGUUGACACGGUUUCUUCUCAGAAUUCGGCAAAGACAGCACUAAUUAGGAUGUGCAGGUUUCUGAGUUCUCACCGAGUUUUUGCAGGAAUUUUGGAAGACAGUUAUCAGAUUUCAUUGCUUUCAGACUUCAGAUUUCAGAAACAAAUCCAGGAUAGAAACAGAUUUCCAAAUAUUAUAGUUUGCUACUUUUGAAGACAUUCUUCAGUGUUCUAUUUUCUGCAGAAAUUGUUGUAGUGUUCAGCUUUCUGAAUUUUUUUCUGAUGGUGCUGUAUUUCAGUUGAUUUUUCAAAUAUUUACAGUUUCCUUCCUCCUUCACUUAGCCAUCUCGGCUAUGGUUUCUAUAUUUUGUAUACUCUCUUUUCAUUCAAAUAAAAACAGGAUGGUUUAUCCUCC